CCGGCUAAGUGGCACGAGCUUUCCGAAAAGGUUUCUGAGUCAGAAAAGCUGUUUAAAUAAUUGAUUUUCUUGGCCAAGAAUCGUCGAUAAAUUGGGUCAUGUUCCUUAGCACACACAAGUCCAAAUAGAAGCCAAAAGCGAAGCGUUGAGAAAGUCAUGUCGCUGGUAUCAAGGAAGAUGGCGAAUAAAUGGUGGACUCCAUUAUAAGAUGAUGAGUCAAGAGGUUGAAAAUGACUCCAAUCUUCAAUUCAGUUCUUAAUCCUCUUUAGAAAGCCCAUCUUGAAGAGAUGUUUGUGGUGUAAAGUCUCUGGUGGUGUAUCAGCGUCUGUACUCUCCUCCUCAUCAGACAGAUACCCACUAUCGAUGACUUCCUGCGUCAAAGGCAAGAUAUUCAUAUCAGAUUCUUCGUAUUUCCAGGUAGGUAAGGAAGGCGCGUCGUCUAGCUCCUUGGCCGAGACUGCGGGGUCCC